UACAGAGGUCCCAAGCGUUGUUCGGAUUCAUUGGGCGUAAAGGGUGCGUAGGCGGCAGGGUAAGUCUGGUGUGAAAUCCCGGGGCUCAACCCCGGAACUGCACUGGAUACUGCUUUGCUAGAGUACUGGAGAGGGAACUGGAAUUUACGGUGUAGCAGUGAAAUGCGUAGAGAUGCGGAGGAACACCGAUGGCGAAGGCAGCCCCCUUGGGCUGACACUGACGCUCAGGCACGAAAGCGUGGGGAGCAAACAGG
rnacentral:rRNA from 1 species